rnacentral:rRNA from 1 species
CCUACGGGGGGCUGCAGUGGGGAAUAUUGGACAAUGGGGGCAACCCUGAUCCAGCCAUGCCACGUGUGUGAAGAAGGCCCUCGGGUUGUAAAGCACUUUCAGUGAGGAAGAACGCCUGGUGGUUAAUACCCAUCAGGAAAGACAUCACUCACAGAAGAAGCACCGGCUAACUCCGUGCCAGCAGCCGCGGUAAUACGGAGGGUGCGAGCGUUAAUCGGAAUUACUGGGCGUAAAGCGCGCGUAGGUGGCUUGAUAAGCCGGUUGUGAAAGCCCCGGGCUCAACCUGGGAACGGCAUCCGGAACUGUCAAGCUAGAGUGCAGGAGAGGAAGGUAGAAUUCCCGGUGUAGCGGUGAAAUGCGUAGAGAUCGGGAGGAAUACCAGUGGCGAAGGCGGCCUUCUGGACUGACACUGACACUGAGGUGCGAAAGCGUGGGUAGCAAACAGGAUUAGAUACCCUGGUAGUC